AUCGGGGUCUUAUCUUUAGCCACUGUUUUUUGUUCGGUCCUACAUUGGUCCAGGAUGCGACGUAUUGUACGCCUCUGUGAAGGACCUGACUGAUGAGAUGUGAUGACUGGGAUGGAUUGUACCAAUGUCAAAAUGACUUGCUACUUCAGAUGUUUAAGACAGCCUGCAACAACCUUGGGACCUGUCCAGGAUGCAUCCUGACUCUCGCACAAAGAUCCCUGGAGAUAAGAGCCAGCUUCCCCCUCAAUCUGGAAAGGAAAAUGUUCAAAAAGAAAAUGGAUGAUGGUGACACAUCUUAACAAUGCAGUCCAGCAGUCUGAGUUUGAUGUACAAAAACCAGUUUCCAGCCCAAAUUAUUCACCUUUUACAGAGCCCAUGAGAGGACAUGGGAGAUUUGUUUUCUUUUGCGUUCCAACGCAAAAGUA